rnacentral:rRNA from 1 species
CACUCCUACGGAGGCAGCAGUGGGGAAUAUUGCACAAUGGGCGCAAGCCUGAUGCAGCCAUGCCGCGUGUAUGAAGAAGGCCUUCGGGUUGUAAAGUACUUUCAGCGGGGAGGAAGGCGAUAAGGUUAAUAACCUUGUCGAUUGACGUUACCCGCAGAAGAAGCACCGGCUAACUCCGUGCCAGCAGCCGCGGUAAUACGGAGGGUGCAAGCGUUAAUCGGAAUUACUGGGCGUAAAGCGCACGCAGGCGGUCUGUCAAGUCGGAUGUGAAAUCCCCGGGCUCAACCUGGGAACUGCAUUCGAAACUGGCAGGCUAGAGUCUUGUAGAGGGGGGUAGAAUUCCAGGUGUAGCGGUGAAAUGCGUAGAGAUCUGGAGGAAUACCGGUGGCGAAGGCGGCCCCCUGGACAAAGACUGACGCUCAGGUGCGAAAGCGUGGGGAGCAAACAGGAUUAGAUACCCUAGUAGUCCCA